GACGAACGCUGGCGGCGUGCUUAACACAUGCAAGUCGAACGGAAAGGCCCUGCUUUUGUGGGGUGCUCGAGUGGCGAGCGGGUGAGUAACACGUGUGUAACCUGCCCUUGACUUUGGGAUAACUUCAGGGAAAUGGGGCUAAUACCGGAUAGGAGCUCCUGCUGCAUGUGGGGGGUUGGAAAGUGUCGGCCGUGGGGGAUGGACUCGCGGGUUAUCAGCUUGUUUGUCGGGUAGUGGCUUACGAAGGCUUUGAGGGGUAGGCGGCCUGGGAGGGUUGACGGCCACAUUAGGCCUGCGGUACGCACCAGACUGCUACGGGAGGCAGUAGUGGGGAACAUUGCAGAGUGGCGGGAAGUCAGAUGUAGAAACGUCGGGUGCGGGAUGACCGCUUUCGGGUUGUAAACAGCUUUGGCCUGUGACGAGGCGUGAGUGACGGUAAUGGGUAAAGAAGCACCGGCUAACUACGUG
rnacentral:rRNA from 1 species